rnacentral:rRNA from 1 species
UACGUAGGUGGCAAGCGUUGUCCGGAUUUAUUGGGCGUAAAGGGUGCGUAGGUGGUUCUUUAAGUGGGAUGUGAAAUCCCUGGGCUUAACCCAGGAAUUGCAUUCCAAACUGGGGAACUAGAGUGCAGGAGAGGAAAGCGGAAUUCCUAGUGUAGCGGUGAAAUGCGUAGAGAUUAGGAGGAACACCAGUGGCGAAGGCGGCUUUCUGGACUGUAACUGACACUGAGGCACGAAAGCGUGGGGAGCAAACAGG